rnacentral:rRNA from 1 species
GGUUAAGCGACUAAGCGUACACGGUGGAUGCCCUGGCAGUCAGAGGCGAUGAAGGACGUGCUAAUCUGCGAUAAGCGUCGGUAAGGUGAUAUGAACCGUUAUAACCGGCGAUUUCCGAAUGGGGAAACCCAGUGUGAUUCGUCACACUAUCAUUAACUGAAUCCAUAGGUUAAUGAGGCGAACCGGGGGAACUGAAACAUCUAAGUACCCCGAGGAAAAGAAAUCAACCGAGAUUCCCCCAGUAGCGGCGAGCGAACGGGGAGGAGCCCAGAGCCUGAAUCAGUGUGUGUGUUAGUGGAAGCGUCUGGAAAGGCGCGCGAUACAGGGUGACAGCCCCGUACACAAAAAUGCACAUAUUGUGAGCUCGAUGAGUAGGGCGGGACACGUGGUAUCCUGUCUGAAUAUGGGGGGACCAUCCUCCAAGGCUAAAUACUCCUGACUGACCGAUAGUGAACCAGUACCGUGAGGGAAAGGCGAAAAGAACCCCGGCGAGGGGAGUGAAAAAGAACCUGAAACCGUGUACGUACAAGCAGUGGGAGCACGCUUCGGCGUGUGACUGCGUACCUUUUGUAUAAUGGGUCAGCGACUUAUAUUCUGUAGCAAGGUUAACCGAAUAGGGGAGCCGAAGGGAAACCGAGUCUUAACUGGGCGUUAAGUUGCAGGGUAUAGACCCGAAACCCGGUGAUCUAGCCAUGGGCAGGUUGAAGGUUGGGUAACACUAACUGGAGGACCGAACCGACUAAUGUUGAAAAAUUAGCGGAUGACUUGUGGCUGGGGGUGAAAGGCCAAUCAAACCGGGAGAUAGCUGGUUCUCCCCGAAAGCUAUUUAGGUAGCGCCUCGUGAAUUCAUCUCCGGGGGUAGAGCACUGUUUCGGCAAGGGGGUCAUCCCGACUUACCAACCCGAUGCAAACUGCGAAUACCGGAGAAUGUUAUCACGGGAGACACACGGCGGGUGCUAACGUCCGUCGUGAAGAGGGAAACAACCCAGACCGCCAGCUAAGGUCCCAAAGUCAUGGUUAAGUGGGAAACGAUGUGGGAAGGCCCAGACAGCCAGGAUGUUGGCUUAGAAGCAGCCAUCAUUUAAAGAAAGCGUAAUAGCUCACUGGUCGAGUCGGCCUGCGCGGAAGAUGUAACGGGGCUAAACCAUGCACCGAAGCUGCGGCAGCGACGCUUAUGCGUUGUUGGGUAGGGGAGCGUUCUGUAAGCCUGUGAAGGUGUGCUGUGAGGCAUGCUGGAGGUAUCAGAAGUGCGAAUGCUGACAUAAGUAACGAUAAAGCGGGUGAAAAGCCCGCUCGCCGGAAGACCAAGGGUUCCUGUCCAACGUUAAUCGGGGCAGGGUGAGUCGACCCCUAAGGCGAGGCCGAAAGGCGUAGUCGAUGGGAAACAGGUUAAUAUUCCUGUACUUGGUGUUACUGCGAAGGGGGGACGGAGAAGGCUAUGUUGGCCGGGCGACGGUUGUCCCGGUUUAAGCGUGUAGGCUGGUUUUCCAGGCAAAUCCGGAAAAUCAAGGCUGAGGCGUGAUGACGAGGCACUACGGUGCUGAAGCGACAAAUGCCCUGCUUCCAGGAAAAGCCUCUAAGCAUCAGGUAACAUCAAAUCGUACCCCAAACCGACACAGGUGGUCAGGUAGAGAAUACCAAGGCGCUUGAGAGAACUCGGGUGAAGGAACUAGGCAAAAUGGUGCCGUAACUUCGGGAGAAGGCACGCUGAUAUGUAGGUGAAGCGACUUGCUCGUGGAGCUGAAAUCAGUCGAAGAUACCAGCUGGCUGCAACUGUUUAUUAAAAACACAGCACUGUGCAAACACGAAAGUGGACGUAUACGGUGUGACGCCUGCCCGGUGCCGGAAGGUUAAUUGAUGGGGUUAGCGGUAACGCGAAGCUCUUGAUCGAAGCCCCGGUAAACGGCGGCCGUAACUAUAACGGUCCUAAGGUAGCGAAAUUCCUUGUCGGGUAAGUUCCGACCUGCACGAAUGGCGUAAUGAUGGCCAGGCUGUCUCCACCCGAGACUCAGUGAAAUUGAACUCGCUGUGAAGAUGCAGUGUACCCGCGGCAAGACGGAAAGACCCCGUGAACCUUUACUAUAGCUUGACACUGAACAUUGAGCCUUGAUGUGUAGGAUAGGUGGGAGGCUUUGAAGUGUGGACGCCAGUCUGCAUGGAGCCGACCUUGAAAUACCACCCUUUAAUGUUUGAUGUUCUAACGUUGGCCCGUAAUCCGGGUUGCGGACAGUGUCUGGUGGGUAGUUUGACUGGGGCGGUCUCCUCCUAAAGAGUAACGGAGGAGCACGAAGGUUGGCUAAUCCUGGUCGGACAUCAGGAGGUUAGUGCAAUGGCAUAAGCCAGCUUGACUGCGAGCGUGACGGCGCGAGCAGGUGCGAAAGCAGGUCAUAGUGAUCCGGUGGUUCUGAAUGGAAGGGCCAUCGCUCAACGGAUAAAAGGUACUCCGGGGAUAACAGGCUGAUACCGCCCAAGAGUUCAUAUCGACGGCGGUGUUUGGCACCUCGAUGUCGGCUCAUCACAUCCUGGGGCUGAAGUAGGUCCCAAGGGUAUGGCUGUUCGCCAUUUAAAGUGGUACGCGAGCUGGGUUUAGAACGUCGUGAGACAGUUCGGUCCCUAUCUGCCGUGGGCGCUGGAGAACUGAGGGGGGCUGCUCCUAGUACGAGAGGACCGGAGUGGACGCAUCACUGGUGUUCGGGUUGUCAUGCCAAUGGCACUGCCCGGUAGCUAAAUGCGGAAGAGAUAAGUGCUGAAAGCAUCUAAGCACGAAACUUGCCCCGAGAUGAGUUCUCCCUGACUCUUUAAGGGUCCUGAAGGAACGUUGAAGACGACGACGUUGAUAGGCCGGGUGUGUAAGCGCAGCGAUGCGUUGAGCUAACCGGUACUAAUGAACCGUGAGGCUUAACCUU